GCAAUCACCGAACCGGAGAAACAAAUAAAUUCUCCCAAGCAUAUGAAUGCUGUAGACAGUUGAAUAGGAACCAUACGAAUAGGUUUACUCUCCUAGCAGUCAAACUGGAACAGCAUACAAUAAAUCCUUCCCCCAAUAAUGAGACGACACUUCACUUUGAGGGUUAAAACAGGAACUCCCUGUACUGUCACAUACAGUCUCUU